GCUCCGUAGGUGAACCUGCGGAGGGAUCAUUACAAGUGACCCCGGUCUUACCACCGGGAUGUUCAUAACCCUUUGUUGUCCGACUCUGUUGCCUCCGGGGCGACCCUGCCUUCGGGCGGGGGCUCCGGGUGGACACUUCAAACUCUUGCGUAACUUUGCAGUCUGAGAGAACUUAAUUAAUAAAUUAAAACUUUUAACAACGGAUCUCUUGGUUCUG
rnacentral:misc_RNA from 1 species